UUCUCAUGUGCAUUAGCAUAUAAAAGAUGAUUGUUUGUUGUUCAGGCUUAGACAUCGUGUGCUGCAUAGCUUGGUUGAGACACUAAGAUUUGCCGUCACUAUGAAGGUGUUAUUUCUGUUUAUCGUCCUGUGCCUUGCCCUAACGCAGGCUUAUAGUUAUUACAGCAAAUAUUACCGUUCUCCAAGCCUGUACAAACAUUACUACUAUCCAGCGAAAUAUUACACCAGUUACUAUCGUCCUCGACGCUACUACUACAGUUAUUAUCCAAAACGACGCUAUUACACAACGUAUUACAAGCGUCCCUAUUACACAACGUAUUACAAGCGACCCUAUUACACAACGUAUUACAAGCGACCAUAUUAUACAAGCUAUUAUAAGCAGCCAUAUUACCACACGAAAUACUAUUCAAAGAAAUACUACUGAGCGACGGGAAAAGGAUGAGACAAAGAAGAUAAAGAAAUACAUUUUUGUAAGGUUUUAUCAAAAUAAAGACCAAACUGACUUCAAAAAGAAA